rnacentral:rRNA from 1 species
UACGUAGGGUGCGAGCGUUAAUCGGCAUUACUGGGCGUAAAGCGUGCGCAGGCGGUUUUGUAAGCCAGAUGUGAAAUCCCCGGGCUCAACCUGGGAAUGGCAUUUGGGACUGCAAGGCUGGAGUGCGGCAGAGGAGACUGGAAUUCCUGGUGUAGCAGUGAAAUGCGUAGAUAUCAGGAGGAAUACCGAUGGCGAAGGCAGGUCUCUGGGCUGACACUGACGCUCAUGCACGAAAGCGUGGGGAGCAAACAGG